rnacentral:misc_RNA from 1 species
UCUCUCACUAUUUCUCUUCUUCCUUUUCUCUCAAGACAACCUCCUUUCCAUAGUCAUCAACUCCCUCAUCUUUUCUUGUAAAAUUUCCAUUUAUGCACUAAACAUCCAAACCAAAGUAAAAAACCCAUAGAGAUCUAACCCCAGAAAAUCCCAAAGAGGGAACCCAUAAGCACACAUACCUGCAUAUAUAUACGUUCGACAGAAAAGCAAAAACUCGGAACCAA